rnacentral:rRNA from 1 species
CGUGUGUGAAGAAGGUCUUCGGAUUGGAAAGCACUUUAAGUUGGGAGGAAGGGCAGUAAGCUAAUACCUUGCUGUUUUGACGUUACCGACAGAAUAAGCACCGGCUAACUCUGUGCCAGCAGCCGCGAUAAUAA